GGGCCCAUUGUGAACUUAUACCUUUUGUUGCCUCGGCGCUGCUGGCUUCACAGGCCCUUUGCUUCACAGCAAAGAGACGGCACGCCGGCGGCCAAAUCAACUCUGUUUUUACACUGAAACUCUGAGAAAAAACACAAAUGAAUCAAAACUUUCAACAACGGAUCUCUUGGUUCUGGCAUCGAUGAAGAACGCAGCGAAAUGCGAUAAGUAAUGUGAAUUGCAGAAUUCAGUGAAUCAUCGAAUCUUUGAACGCACAUUGCGCCCUCUGGUAUUCCGGAGGGCAUGCCUGUUCGAGCGUCAUUUCAACCCUCAAGCAUUGCUUGGUGUUGGGGCACUGCCUGUAAAAGGGCAGGCCCUGAAAUCUAGUGGCGAGUUCGCCAGGACCCCGAGCGUAGUAGUUAAACCCUCGCUCUGGAAGGCCCUGGCGGUGCCCUGCCGUUAAACCCCCAACUUCUGAAAU
rnacentral:sRNA from 1 species